rnacentral:rRNA from 1 species
AACGAACGCUGGCGGCAUGCCUAACACAUGCAAGUCGAACGAGACCUUCGGGUCUAGUGGCGCACGGGUUCGUAACGCGUGGGAACCUGCCCUUAGGUUCGGAAUAACUCCCCGAAAGGGGUGCUAAUACCGGAUAAUGUCUUCGGACCAAAGAUUUAUCGCCUUUGGAUGGGCCCGCGUUGGAUUAGCUAGUUGGUAGGGUAAAAGCCUACCAAGGCGACGAUCCAUAGCUGGUCUGAGAGAAUGAUCAGCCACACUGGGACUGAGACACGGCCCAGACUCCUACGGGAGGCAGCAGUGGGGAAUAGUGGACAAUGGGCGAAAGCCUGAUCCAGCAAUGCCGCGUGAGUGAUGAAGGCCUUAGGGUUGUAAAGCUCUUUUAACCGGGAUGAUAAUGACAGUACCGGGAGAAUAAGCUCCGGCUAACUCCGUG